AGGGUUGUGGCUCAGUGGCAGAGCACUUGCCUUGCAUGCAUGAGACACUGGGUUUGAUCCUUAGCACCACAU
rnacentral:tRNA from 1 species